UCGUUAAUAUUUUUUCUUAUCAUUCAUUCUCAUAUAUUAUUAUCCACAUUCAAGUGAUACCCAUCAAAGGUUGUUUGUCACCAAACAUCGUGCUUGCUGAUCUAACAGGUUAUUUAGGCAUAUGUACUAUUUUAUCCUCUCGCCACCAGUAAGAGUGGAGAGCUUGGCUCUCAGCGGUAUGCCCAGCAUUCCUGCCGAGUACGUCCGAUCGGACACCCU
rnacentral:lncRNA from 1 species